rnacentral:rRNA from 1 species
AUUGAACGCUGGCGGCAGGCUUAACACAUGCAAGUCGAGCGGGGGAGGUUGCUUCGGUAACUGACCUAGCGGCGGACGGGUGAGUAAUGCUUAGGAAUCUGCCUAUUAGUGGGGGACAACAUUCCGAAAGGGAUGCUAAUACCGCAUACGCCCUACGGGGGAAAGCAGGGGAUCUUCGGACCUUGCGCUAAUAGAUGAGCCUAAGUCGGCUUAGCUAGUUGGUGGGGUAAAGGCCUACCAAGGCGACGAUCUGUAGCGGGUCUGAGAGGAUGAUCCGCCACACUGGGACUGAGACACGGCCCAGAUUCCUACGGGAGGCAGCAGUGGGGAAUAUUGGACAAUGGGCGGAAGCCUGAUCCAGCCAUGCCGCGUGUGUGAAGAAGGCCUUUUGGUUGUAAAGCACUUUAAGCGAGGAGGAGGCUACUAGUACUAAUACUACUGGAUAGUGGACGUUACUCGCAGAAUAAGCACCGGCUAACUCUGUGCCAGCCGCCGCGGUAAGAC